GCCAGCAGCCAUAUCACCCUGUAGCUCACAACUGGCAACCCACUGAAGCUAAGCAGGUGUGAGCCUGGUCAGUACCUGGAUGGAAGACCUCCCGGGAAAAACUAAGGUUGCUGCUGGAA
ensembl:rRNA 5S_rRNA 5S ribosomal RNA